CGAAGAAAUAAAUAAUAAAAGUAGUCAUAUUGCUGAUGUUACUACUGCUACUACCACUACUACUAUAACUGCUCCUACUGUUACUAACGACAGGAGUAAAACACUAGUUGCUGAAAUUAAUAAUACAAAAGAAGAUAUGAAAAAAUUUGUGUGUCUUUUGAAAAAUAAAAUGAGUAACUUUGAUAAUGUUAACAAUUCAGUAAAACAAGAUAAAGUCAGUUCAAGUAAGGACAACACAGUGGUCAUGUCAAAGGGCAAUGGGUAUAGUCAACCUGACAAAGAAGGAGAUGAAGACGAAAAAGAAGAACAAGAUGAUUCUUUUUUUUCAAUAUUUGAUCAAAAUGAUAUUCUUAAUGAUGAUGAAACUGGUGAUGAAACUGGUGAUGAAACUGGUGAUGAAACUGGUAAUAAAAAUGUGAAAAAAUAUAAUGACAGACAAAUAUACGAUACGUAUGUGCCUAUCCACAGUAACAACAACAAUAAUGACAUUAGUAACAUACGGGAUAACCAUUCAGUAAACCCACAGAAUGAACAAACAAAUACAUCAGAGAACAUUGAUAAACAUAGACUUAAAGAAAAAAAAGAUACUUUAAAAAUUUAUGAAAGUAUGUUUUUAGCUGAUACAAAAAAAAAAAAUAAUAUUCCCGGUAUAAAACACGAUUCUUUAAUUAAUGAAAAAUUUUACUCGAUCUUAAAUAAAGAACAUGAAAAAGUGGAACGAGCAAACCAUGCGUCAAAAACAGGACACAUGUCGAACGAACAAUUAGGAAAAGAAAAUAAUGAUCAUAUAAAAACAAGUUUAUUCAAAUUAAUGACUUCGAAUAAACCAUUAGAAACAAAUUAUGAUAGGACAAAUUUAAUAAAAUCGGCAGAACAGAUUGAAACUGAAUUUAUAAAAGCUUAUGUAAAUGAACAAACAGAAGCUAGCGAAAAAAAUGAACAAACUGGAAGAAAAUUAAAAAGAAGAAAAAAAAAAAUUCAGCAAAUUUUGUCCAAAAAGUAUGAACCGAUAGAAGACCUUACAGCUUUACAGAAAAAAUGGGAUGGACUUUACAAACAUGGGUAGUCUUUAUUUUAUACGUGUGAUAAUAUACUUGUGUAAACAUAUAUAUAUAUAUAUAUAUAUACGCAAUGCAUAUUACUACAACAUUGAG
rnacentral:lncRNA from 1 species